GACGGACGGUGCAAGCGUUGCUCGGAAUCACUGGGCGUAAAGGGUGCGUAGGCGGCUUGGUGGGUCUGGUGUGAAAGCCCCGGGCUCAGCCCGGGAAGGGCACUAGAAACUGCCGAGCUGGAGUGCCGGAGGGGAGAGUGGAAUUCCUGGUGUAGCGGUGAAAUUCGUAGAUAUUCGCAAGAACACCAGUGGCGAAGGCGGCUCACUGGCCCGAUACUGACGCUGAGGUGCGAAAGCGUGGGGAGCAAACAGG
rnacentral:rRNA from 1 species